UACGUAGGGCGCAAGCGUUAUCCGGAAUUAUUGGGCGUAAAGAGCUCGUAGGCGGUUUGUCGCGUCUGCUGUGAAAGACCGGGGCUCAACUCCGGUUCUGCAGUGGGUACGGGCAGACUAGAGUGAUGUAGGGGAGACUGGAAUUCCUGGGUGUAGCGGUGAAAUGCGCAGAUAAUCAGGAGGAACACCGAUGGCGAAGGCAGGUCUCUGGGCAUUAACUGACGCUGAGGAGCGAAAGCAUGGGGAGCAAACAGG
rnacentral:rRNA from 1 species